rnacentral:lncRNA from 1 species
UCUUUAUUUUUCAUAGAGAUUUAGAUUUUCAUCUGAUUUAUUUUCCUUCUUUCUCCAAGAACUUUUUAUUCAUUCAUUUAAAUUUUUUUGGGUUCACAUCUAUCUGUAAGGACUAUUUCAACUUUUGUGUGGCUGGAAAAACAGGUCACUUCAUGCUUGGAAGCUAUUUGACUAAGCAAAGAAAUCUAGGUUACAGCUUUCUUUUCCUGUUUAAACAAGCUGCUGUACUGUCUGGGUUUGCCUCCCUUCUGAAGUCACUGUGGUGUUUCUCUGCUGGGGAAGAUUUCCUCUUUCUGGCUCCCUGUAAGAUUUUCCCCCUAUUGUUGGUUCUCAUCCGUUUUCCCAUAGCAUGCCUUUAUCUUGUCUCUGCUUUGGGUGUGUGGAAGUGUAGGAUGUAUCGCUCUUGGACAGCCAGGCCCUUAAGCACAGGUUAGGGUGUUCGUAUUGACCUCUCUGCCUUCUCUUUUGAGGUCCCUCUUUUAUGUGUAUGUUAAGUUGCUUGUGGCUGUUGCCACACCCCUCCUCCUCUUUUAAAGGAUGCUUGUGUGAGGUAGUUCAUUUUAGAGGUUUCUAUAGCUGUACCUUCAAGCUUAUUGGUAUUUUUCUUCUGAAGUAUUUAAUCUGCUCUUAAUUUUAUGUGCAUACUAGACACUAUAUUUUUAACUCUAGAAAUUUUUAUUUAGAUUCCUUUUAUAUCCCUUUAACAGAUUUAUGCUCCUUUGCCUUCUUGGACACAUGGAACAUAGGUGUUUAUAACUUUUUAAUCAUCUAACUGCUUACUCUAAUGUCUAUUCUUUUUAGAUGUGUUCCUAUUGACUGAUUCUCUCCUUUCUAACAGCCACUUGGUUUUUUUGCCUCUUGGUGAUUUGUUUUUUGUUUUGUUUUUCGAGACGGGGUUUCUCUGUGUAGCCCUGGCUGUCCUGGAACUCACUCUGUAGACCAGGCUGGCCUCAAACUCAGAGAUCCAUCUGCCUCUGCCUCCCAAGUGCUAGGAUUAAAGGCGUGCACCACCACUGCCUGGCAGUGAUAUUUUACUAGACGUUAAAUAUUGUGAAUUUUGCCUUACUGGUUCCUGGAUAUUUUCAUAUUCUUAAUAAUAUUCUUGAGUUGUGCUUUGGGACACAUUUAAAUUGUAAGUAGCUUAAUUGUUUUGUACUCCCUCCCCUCCCUCCAGCUUUUUCUUUUUCUUUUUCUCUUCUUUUUUCUUUUUUUGUUUGUUUCUUUCUGAUUCCAGAAACUUUUUCUAAUUUCCCCCACUAUCCAAGAGGUGAUCUUGUAAGUACUUUACCUGCUGCUGCCUGUAGAUGGAUCAUAAGCUCGUCUACUGUGGCAGGUAGGAAGCAGUUUGGACUCCAGCAGUGCCUCUGCUCCCCCAGGGCUUCUUCGUCUUUAGUCCUGGGGAGUUAUCUCAUGGGUGUGGACUGCUGUGCCCCAGCUGAAGUGGGUCUCCACAGACCUGCUCAGCUCUGUUGUGUGAAUCCUGUCCCCUCAGUGCUGUUGACUUGUGUUUGUUGGGAGCCAGUGGGUUUCCAUUCCCAUCAUUGUCUGUCGGUGUUUCGGCUAGGAUACUUUCCCUGCAGUGGGCUGCAGCAUGCUGUCUCAUGGGACUCUCGUGGGCCUUUGUCCUGCUGCUCACCAUUUGAGAACUGUUUUUUUGUUUUGUUUUGUUUUGUUUUGUUUUGUUUUGAUUUAUUUAUUUAUUUAUUUAUUUAUUUAUUUAUUUAUUUAUUUCAGUUUUGUAGUUGUUUAAAACCACAAAAUCUGGUUCUUGUUCUCCAGCAGGGCUGUCAGUUUCUAAGUGAAAGGCUUCAUGAUUGGUGAGAUCCAUAUAACUAUGAUGUCGAAGUCCCUGAGGACUGUUUAGGACAGUGUUUCUGUGGGGGCUGUUCUGGAGUACAGCUGACUCUGUGGAGACACCGAAGUGCUAGUAGUUCAUUAUUUCCUCUUAAUACUAUCUAGAAAACCACAAGAAAGUUGUGUCUGUAAAUACUGACAGACGUGGCUGACUCAGUCACCAAACACAAGGGAGUUUGCUUAUGCAGCUAAUUUGAUUACUAUGUUCUUAUACAUUAGUUUUGAUCACUAUACUCUUACAUAUAAAGGUUAAACAUUUUUCUUGUCAGUUCUUUCCCCAGAUAUUACAUGAAGCACAGUAUUAUACACCAGUACUAUGGUAGUAAGUGACUCAGCCUGUUUGAGUCCUGAUUUGGUAGCAAACUCACAAACAGAUUUUUGAGAUGUUUUGGUAUCUUUUGAAAAGUCAGUGUUGACAGGAAGUGAACACAAAAGGGAGAAAAGCCUGUGGCUCUGUAAAAGCCAAGGAAGGAGCCAAAGAAAGAACCUGUAUUGUCUGGUUCCGUGGUGAAUCAUUAACCUCUGGUGCACUGGGCACAAAGGUUGCGUGCCUGCCUGUGCUAUUGGCUGUGAAACAAUACGCUGGCUUUUUUUUUUUUUUUUUCUUUUUAAGUUACAGUUUACAAAGAAUUGUGCCUUACAGGAAAACAAUUGAAUUGUGAGAUAAUGAUUACUUGACUUAGUAACUUUUAAAACUGUGGGUUAGGACAAUGACACAGCGCAGGCCAUGUUGACAGUUACACAAGAACCAGGGGACUGGAAUGUGAUUUUUUUCUACCAUGUGAUUUUUUUUUCUUAAAAUCAAUUCUUUCUGAAAACAUAUCUUACCAUGAUCCAUUUUCUCUUUAAUAUCACACCUCUAUUUUCCACAAUUCACUGUUAUGGUCUUGGGUAACUUGGGAGACUUGACUUCACAGUCAAAGUGAAAAAUAUUUUAUUUUGUUCAGAAUACAUUGUUGAUACUGGCUGAAAUAGGGCUCAGGGAUAUUCUAGGUUGUGUGUCUCUGACAAAAAGAAUUACUUCAUAGUUUCUAAAUUAUUUAAGAAAAGCCCUUUUUUUUUCCCAAGACAAUACCGGGCCCUCAUUUUCCUCUUCUUCUUUACUUCCUUUCUCCUUCUUUCUGCAUAUCAGCCAUUUGGAAAGAACUGCAGUUGCCCAAGUGAAAGAAACAAAACAUGAGAAAUAGCCCCAAGCCUCCAAGGAACUUGUGAUCUAGUAGAGAAGUGAAUUACAGUGCUGUGCUGAGCUAUGGC